GCGAAAACUUUACAAUGCUGGCAACAGCGAUAAGGGAACCUCGAGUGCCAGGUUACAAAUCUGGCUGUCGAGAUGCCUAAAAAGCAUUUCAUAGCAAGGGCCGGGCAAGACCGGUGCUAGCCGCCGCGGUAACACCGGCGGCUCGAGUGGUAACCGUUAUUAUUGGGUCUAAAGGGUCUGUAGCCGGCCGGAUAAGUCUCUUGAGAAAUCUGGCAGCUUAACUGUCAGGCUUUCAGGAGAUACUGUCUGGCUCGAGGCCGGGAGAGGUGAGAGGUACUUCAGGGGUAGGGGUGAAAUCUUGUAAUCCUUGAAGGACCACCAGUGGCGAAGGCGUCUCACCAGAACGGACCUGACGGCAAGGGACGAAAGCUAGGGGCAAGAACC
rnacentral:rRNA from 1 species